rnacentral:lncRNA from 1 species
UUUUGAAAGCAUCAGCCUUUGAGAGUGGAACAAUAUUGGAGCUAUGGAGUCACCUUUACCUGGAAAUAUCGAAGGGUCAUGAACUUGUCGUCGUCGUCAUCAUCAUUGUCAUCGUCAUCAUCAUCACCAUCACCACCAGCAGCAGCAGCAGCAGCAGCAGCAGCAGCAAGAUUUUGUGUUGGGAAGGUACUUCCAAAUGCUACAGGGGACAGAAGGUCAUCAGCUAUUGGCCCAGGGAUUAUAGCAUGGAAGAGUUCCUCUUCUCAGAGGAUAUUAAACUUUUUGAGGAUUAAAAUUGUGAUUCUUAUAGCUUAUUUCAGACUUAUCCAUCAUCUAUAAUAUGCAGAAAAAGUAGACUUAUAAAUGUUGGCUAACUAGAGACCAACAUAAUGACUGUGGAAGUUGAUUUGAAAUAGGGCAAAUGUUUUUUGAGACAUUAAAGAACAGCACAAACUUGUUUCUAUUACACGUGCAUUCUU